rnacentral:lncRNA from 1 species
AAGUUCAGGUGAAGGGGUUUUCUUCACUUAUGUAAAGUCGCAAAGUUCUAUUUGCUUUGGUCAACCACCUCGAGUGUGAUAAGUGUCCGGGAUCUCGUACAGACAAAUCCCCUUUACAUGUCCCAGAUUUUAUCGCAGUGGAGAUAUCAAGUAGGUACUGUUGAUCCUUGCUGAGAACCUUUCUGUCUACCUCCGGUAUCUGACAAUCUAUAGACUGGAAGUUAAUUACCGGCAGUUUUUGACAGGCAACAAGUUUUUCACCGAUUGGUCCUCUUGAAGUACUAGGCCCGGUUGUUUUGCCAUCUAGAUGUUCAAAGAGGUG